rnacentral:tRNA from 1 species
AGUGUAGCUCAGUGGUAGAGCACUUACCUCACAAGUAUGAGGUCAUGGGUUUGGUCCCUACCACU